GACGAACGCUGGCGGCGUGCCUAAUACAUGCAAGUCGAGCGGACAGAAGGGAGCUUGCUCCCGGUAUGUUAGCGGCGGACGGGUGAGUAACACGUGGGUAACCUGCCUGUAAGACUGGGAUAACUCCGGGAAACCGGAGCUAAUACCGGAUAGUUCCUUGAACCGCAUGGUUCAAGGAUGAAAGACGGUUUCGGCUGUCACUUACAGAUGGACCCGCGGCGCAUUAGCUAGUUGGUGAGGUAACGGCUCACCAAGGCGACGAUGCGUAGCCGACCUGAGAGGGUGAUCGGCCACACUGGGACUGAGACACGGCCCAGACUCCUACGGGAGGCAGCAGUAGGGAAUCUUCCGCAAUGGACGAAAGUCUGACGGAGCAACGCCGCGUGAGUGAUGAAGGUUUUCGGAUCGUAAAGCUCUGUUGUUAGGGAAGAACAAGUGCAAGAGUAACUGCUUGCACCUUGACGGUACCUAACCAGAAAGCCACGGCUAACUACGUGCCAGCAGCCGCGGUAAUACGUANGUGGCAAGCGUUGUCCGGAAUUAUUGGGCGUAAAGGGCUCGCAGGCGGUUUCUUAAGUCUGAUGNNAAANCCCCCGGCUCACCGGGGAGGGUCAUUGGAACCUG
rnacentral:rRNA from 1 species